CGUGUUCGCGCAGUCUCGACAACUAUGUAAAUAGAACGUCUAAAUUAUGAGUGUUCUUAGAGUUUCUUGCCUUUUGUUCUGCAUCCACAUGUCCUUAUGAGUUACACAUUAUUCUGCAGUUUGGACAGACGUCGUGGAAGAGUAUGCUAGGUUUUCUAAACCUUCGUGAUUACAUGACACAUCCAUAGAGCUUCUGAUUUUCCAGGAAGAUUGGAAAUCCACAAGUCUUUUUACCGUAUCUAGGCAAGGGAGUAGUUCUGGAUUAAAGAUGAGUAAUUUCAACUCAAGUGUCUUCCAGUUUACUUCUUAGUGCCGUGUGGUUAAACUACUGGAUAGGGGCUUUCUCGUUUUGCUUCGAGGCCAGUAUA